CGCAAAGAUGGCGCCGAGGCGUUAGGAGGCCUUGCGACUUGCGGGAGUAGUCGCCAACGGCACCACGGACCGCGGACGAAACGUCGCUCGUCUGAUCGAGGACGCCAGUGGGACCCGACCCGCAACGCCCGAGGUUGUAGUGACAUUUGGAGUUUGUCCUGGCAAAAUUGAACCACCACGAAUCAUCAAUGGUAUCGUGUCCAGCGGAGCUUUCAGGGUAAAGUUUUCUCCCUUUGAGAAUGUAAAUGCCUUGGAGUAGAAGUCGUACCAUGGACCGGGUGGAAUGUUUGAUGAAGUCAGUUACAAUUGUAUCGUCGGAGUUGUGGUUUCGUGCGAAUGGGUAAAAGGCACCCAGCUGCACCCAGCGAUUACAAAGAGAUACAGAUGCGUUGCCAUCAAAACCGCAAAUGUCAGCACCUACCAUAGGUACUUGGUAUAGACUGUAACUCAACACCUCUGGAAUGCUCAUUCGCAAAUCAUGCCUUGAAAAGGAGAAUGGAUUGAACGAUUUCAGACAUCUCGAAUGAAUUCGUGGAGAACGUGAUGAUAAUAUAGAAUUUAGAUACAUAUAAUUACAACGUACCAUGAUGAAUAAAUAUCCCCAGUCCAAUGUCCUGCGUAAUGUCCAGCGCCUUCCCAAGUCGACCUUGAUAUUAUGAAAGGUCUUUUGCUUCUGAUUUUUCUCAUAGCUCUGGGAAUCGUUAACAAGAAUCAGUUCAUGCAACAUAUUUUGGCAGUAUCAAUCGUAUUCAGUGUUUUACAUACUUAUCGUAGAUAUCUCAGAUAUAAAAUUAUCUAGAUAACGUAUGUAACCACUGUUUGUUUCAUCAUGCAUUUGAAACUCACAAAUUUGCGGCAAUUGCUUGUCCAGUGCCGUAGGUGUUAUGAAGAUUGUAAUGCGAACCCAGGUGGUGUUUAGCAUUCAUACAUAAGGUCUUAGUUGCGAGCAAUCUAUCGACGACAUGUGGCACAUAUUGUGGAUAAUCCAGCUUGUUAUAAGUGCAGCCGUUAACUUUACCAUUCAAAAAGUUGGAUGGCUCGUUCAUGUCCUUAAGUUAACAAUAAUGAUGUUAAUCAUUUGUAUUUUCAACUUAUUUUUACCAUUGCAGAAAUAAAACUUGUCGAUAAUAAUUUAUGAUAUUAAGUUGUUCAAAAAUAAAUGACUUACGAUCCA
rnacentral:misc_RNA from 1 species